ensembl:snoRNA
CACUAGAGUCACAUCCUGACAGCUCUUGUCUGGGUGUGCUAGAGUCCCCACAAAGAAUCUGCUGGUCUUGAUGCACUGGCGAGGGCAAUCAGCCCCCAGAAGUGCCCAGGUCAGAAACAUGC